rnacentral:rRNA from 1 species
CCUUUGUACACACCGCCCGUCGCUACUACCGAUUGAAUGGCUUAGUGAGACCCUCGGAUCGAUGAGUGGAAACCUUCACGGGUAUUUAUUUGUUGAGAAGUUGGUCAAACUUGGUCAUUUAGAGG